UACGUAGGGUGCGAGCGUUAAUCGGAAUUACUGGGCGUAAAGUGUGCGCAGGCGGCCGCGCAAGUCGAGUGUGAAAUCCCCGAGCUUAACUUGGGAAUUGCGCUCGAAACUAUGUGGCUGGAGUGUGGCAGAGGAAGGUGGAAUUCCACGUGUAGCGGUGAAAUGCGUAGAUAUGUGGAGGAACACCGAUGGCGAAGGCAGCCUUCUGGGCCAACACUGGCGCUCAUGCACGAAAGCGUGGGGAGCAAACAGG
rnacentral:rRNA from 1 species